rnacentral:lncRNA from 1 species
UAUAUAUAUAUAUAUAGUUCGGCUACUAUAUUCUUAUGAGUACGAUCGUCCUCGUACUCAUAAGUUCAUUUUGAUGAUAGAACUUCCGAAUCGACGAUCCAUACCGUUAAAUAUUAUCUAGAGUAUUUAAAACUUUUAGAAAUUAAAUUUUAUAAUUUUUUGACAUCAUUUGCCUUAUGAUCAAAAGGUCACAAAAUUGUCAAUUUUUAACAGCCGGUAUGAGAUACUUGCUAGUUUAACGGUGAAAAAGAAUCGAAAUAGAUUGAAUUUUUGAUAGAAAAUUCUAUUCACUACAUAAAUAAAGAUCAAUAAUUCCGAUCUUAAAUUUAAGGAUCAGAUCAUCCAUUUUUAGGAUGUCAUUCAAUUUUAAUCGUUCAUUUUAUACUCACUUGAUGGACUUUAUAAUGAUUUCGAAAAUUUAUGAAAUUUAUUUUCUAGAAGUUUCAAAUACUCUAGAUCAUGUUUAACGGUGUGGAUCGUUGAUUCGAAAACUCCAACAUCGAAAAUAACUUAUGAGUAGUAAGGUUUCUAUACUCAUAAGAGUAUAGUAGCCCUACUCUCUGUCUCUCUCUCUCUCUCUAUAUAUAUAUAUAUAUUUAUAUAGUCUUUCUCUCUCAAAAAAAAAAAAAUCAUUUAUCUAGUUAAACAUUACAAAGAUA